rnacentral:rRNA from 1 species
UAGUAACGGCGAGUGAAGCGGGAACAGCUCAAAUUUGAAAUCUGGCCUUCGGGUCCGAAUUGUAAUUUGUAAAGGAUGCUUUUGGUUAGGUACUUUCCGAGUUCCCUGGAACGGGACGCCUUAAAGGGUGAGAGCCCCGUACGGUUGGAUACCGAGCCUUUGUAAAGCUCCUUCGACGAGUCGAGUAGUUUGGGAAUGCUGCUCUAAAUGGGAGGUAAAUUUCUUCUAAAGCUAAAUACUGGCCAAAGACCGAUAGCGCACAAGUAAAGUGAUCGAAAGAUGAAAAGCACUUUGAAAAGAGGGUUAAAUAGCACGUGAAAUUGUUGAAAGGGAAGCGUUUAUGACCAAACUUUUUCCAGGCGGAUCAUCCGGUGUUCUCACCGGUGCACUUCGUCUGGUUGAGGCCAGCAUCGGUUUUCGUGGGGGGAUAAAAGUAGUAGGAAUGUGACUCCUCCGGGAGUGUUAUAGCCUAUUGUAUAAUACCGCCAUGGGGACCGAGGUUCGCGCAUCUGCAAGGAUGCUGGCGUAAUGGUCAUCAACGACCCGUCUUGAAAACGGACCAAGGAGUCGAAAUUUGUGCGAGUGUUUGGGUGUUAACCCUCCCCGUAAUGAAAGUGAAGGAGGUGAGAGCCCUACGGGGGCUC